rnacentral:rRNA from 1 species
CCAAUAGCGUAUAUUAAAGUUGUUGCAGUUAAAAAGCUCGUAGUUGAAUUUCGGGAUUGACGUGACGGUCGUGCCUUACGGGGUAUGAACUGUUGCUGUUGAUUUCUCACCUUCUGGAGAAACUUGAUGUCCUUAAUUGGGUGUCUUGUGGAUCCAGGACCUUUACCUUGAAAAAAUUAGAGUGUUUAAAGCAGGCAUUAUGCUCGAAUACAUUAGCAUG